rnacentral:rRNA from 1 species
AUACGUAGGGGGCGAGCGUUGUCCGGAAUGAUUGGGCGUAAAGGGCGCGUAGGCGGCCCGGUAAGUCUGGAGUGAAAGUCCUGUUUUUAAGAUGGGAAUUGCUUUGGAUACUGUCGGGCUCGAGUGCAGGAGAGGGAAGUGGAAUUCCCAGUGUAGCGGUGAAAUGCGUAGAGAUUGGGAGGAACACCAGUGGCGAAGGCGACUUACUGGACUGUAACUGACGCUGAGGCGCGAAAGUGUGGGGAGCAAACAGGAUUAGAUACCCUGGUAGUCCACACUGUAAACGAUGAAUGCUAGGUGUAGGGGGUAUCGACCCCUUCUGUGCCGCAGUCAACACAAUAAGCAUUCCGCCUGGGGAGUACGGCCGCAAGGUUGAAACUCAAAUGAAUUGACGGGG